rnacentral:piRNA from 1 species
GCUGGACAACGUUUGUCAACUGUCUUUGA